CUUUGGCUUUGGAUCGUGUGAGCAUUAUUUCCAGUCGAUAACUUGAAAUACGCUACGGACAACUGGAUUGUUUUCCCGUCUGUUAUGAGGACAGAGAGCUGCUACACCUCACUCCGAGGACCUCCACUUCCGUAAACUUUCAUGACGCAGUCCAUACCCCGCCUGUAUUUUUACAACAUUGACAUUUAAACUUCAUAUUUUUCAUCUGAUUUACCUGAAAUAAACCACCAGCACCAAACUGCA